rnacentral:lncRNA from 1 species
GUGAUCUGUCUGUAACCUGUCAGGUGAUCUGUCUGUAACCUGUCAGGUGAUCUGUCUGUAACCUGUCAGGUGAUCUGUCUGUAACCUGCCAGGUGAUCUGUCUGUAACCUGCCAGGUGAUCUGUCUGUAACCUGCCAGGUGAUCUGUCUGUAACCUAUGUCCUCGAUGCCAUAGAAGGCUGUUCCUAUGUCCUCGAUGCCAUAGAAGGCUGUUCCCUAUGUCCUCGAUGCCAUAGAAGGCUGUUCCCUAUGUCCUCGAUGCCAUAGAAGGCUGUUCCCUAUGUCCUCGAUGCCAUAGAAGGAUGUCCCUAUGUCCUCGAUGCCAUAGAAGGAUGUCCCUAUGUCCUCAAUGCCAUAGAAGGAUGUUCCCUAUGUCCUCGAUACCAUAGAAGGCUGUUCCCUAUGUCCUCAAUACCAUAAAGGCUGUUCCCUAUGUCCUCAAUGCCAUAGAAGGCUGUUCCCUAUGUCCUCGAUGCCAUAGAAGGCUGUCCCCUAUGUCCUCGAUGCCAUAGAAGGCUGUUCCCUAUGUCCUCAAUGCCAUAGAAGGCUGUUCCCUAUGUCCUCAAUGCCAUAGAAGGCUGUUCCCUAUGUCCUCGAUGCCAUAGAAGGCUGUUCCCUA